GCGAGCGUUAAUCGGAAUUACUGGGCGUAAAGCGCAUGCAGGCGGCCUCGUUAAGUCAGAUGUGAAAGCCCGGGGCGUUAACCUCGGAAUUGCAUUUGUAAACUGGCAGGCUAGAGUCUUGUAGAGGGGGGUAGGAAGUUUCAGGUGUAGCGGUGAAAUGCGUAGAGAUCUGAAGGAAUACCAGUGGCGAAGGCGGCCCCCCUCGGACAAAGACUGACGCUCAGAUGCGAAAGCGUGGGGAGCAAACAGGAUUAGAUACCCCUGGUAG
rnacentral:rRNA from 1 species